GACGAACGCUGGCGGCGUGCUUAACACAUGCAAGUCGAACGGAAAGGCCCUGCUUGCAGGGUACUCGAGUGGCGAACGGGUGAGUAACACGUGGGUGAUCUGCCCUGCACUUCGGGAUAAGCCUGGUAAACUGGGUCUAAUACCGGAUAGGAGCCAUUUUUAGUGUGAUGGUUGGAAAGUUUUUUCGGUGUAGGAUGAGCUUGCGGCCUAUCAGCUUGUUGGGGGGGUAAUGGCCUACCAAAGCGGCGGCGGGUAGCAGGCCUGAGAGGGUGGACCGCGACAUUGGGACCGAGGUACGGCACAGGUAGCUACGGGAGGGAGCAGUGGGGAAUCUUGCCCAAUGGGCGCCAGGCUGAUGCAGCGACGCCGCGUGGGGGAUGACGGCCUUCGGGUUGUAAACUCCUUUCGCUAGGGACGAAGCUUUUUGUGACGGUACCUAGAUAAGAAGCCCCGGCUAACUACGUG
rnacentral:rRNA from 1 species